GGCGAACGUUAGCGGCGCGCCUAACACAUGCAAGUCGAGCGAUGAAGCUCCUUCGGGAGUGGAUUAGCGGCGGACGGGUGAGUAACACGUGGGUAACCUGCCUCAUAGAGGGGAAUAGCCUUCCGAAAGGAAGAUUAAUACCGCAUAAGAUUGUAGUUCCGCAUGGGACAGCAAUUAAAGGAGCAAUCCGCUAUGAGAUGGACCCGCGUCGCAUUAGCUAGUUGGUGAGGUAACGGCUCACCAAGGCGACGAUGCGUAGCCGACCUGAGAGGGUGAUCGGCCACAUUGGGACUGAGACACGGCCCAGACUCCUACGGGAGGCGGCAGUGGGGAAUAUUGCACAAUGGGGGAAACCCUGAUGCAGCAACGCCGCGUGAGUGAUGACGGUCUUCGGAUUGUAAAACUCUGUCUUUGGGGAUGAUAAUGACGGUACCCAAGGAGGAAGCCACGGCUAACUACGUGCCAGCCGCCGCUGUAAAAC
rnacentral:rRNA from 1 species